UCCUACGGGUGGCUGCAGUGGGGAAUAUUGGACAAUGGGCGAAAGCCUGAUCCAGCCAUGCCGCGUGUGUGAAGAAGGUCUUCGGAUUGUAAAGCACUUUAAGUUGGGAGGAAGGGCAGUAAGCUAAUACCUUGCUGUUUUGACGUUACCAACAGAAUAAGCACCGGCUAACUCUGUGCCAGCAGCCGCGGUAAUACAGAGGGUGCAAGCGUUAAUCGGAAUGACUGGGCGUAAAGCGCGCGUAGGUGGUUCAGCAAGUUGGAUGUGAAAUCCCCGGGCUCAACCUGGGAACUGCAUCCAAAACUACUGAGCUAGAGUACGGUAGAGGGUGGUGGAAUUUCCUGUGUAGCGGUGAAAUGCGUAGAUAUAGGAAGGAACACCAGUGGCGAAGGCGACCACCUGGACUGAUACUUACACUGAGGUGCGAAAGCGUGGGGAGCAAACAGGAUUAGAUACCCCGGUAGUC
rnacentral:rRNA from 1 species